GACGAACGCUGGCGGCGUGCUUAACACAUGCAAGUCGAACGGAAAGGCCCUGCUUUUGUGGGGUGCUCGAGUGGCGAACGGGUGAGUAACACGUGAGUAACCUGCCCUUGACUUUGGGUUACUUCAGGAAACCGGGGCUAAUAACGGAUUAGAAGUUCUUCUGCAUGGGGGGGGUUGGGAAGGUUCGGCGGUUGGGGAUGGACUCGCGGCUUAUCAGCUUGUUGGUGGGGUAGUGGCUUACCAAGGCUUUGACGGGUAGCCGGCCUGAGAGGGUGACCGGCCACAUUGGGACUGAGAUACGGCCCAGACUCCUACGGGAGGCAGCAGUGGGGAAUAUUGCACAAUGGGCGGAAGCCUGAUGCAGCAACGCCGCGUGCGGGAUGACGGCCUUCGGGUUGUAAACCGCUUUCGCCUGUGACGAAGCGUGAGUGACGGUAAUGGGUAAAGAAGCACCGGCUAACUACGUG
rnacentral:rRNA from 1 species